AUUGAACGCUGGCGGCAGGCCUAACACCUGCAAGUCGAACGAGUGGCGGACGGGUGAGUAAUGUCUGGGAAACUGCCCGCUGGAGGGGGAUAACUACUGGAAACGUUAGCUAAUACCGCAUACCAUCGGAUGUGCCCAGAUGGGCUUAGCUAGUGGGUGGGGUAAUGGCUCACCUAGGCAACGAUCCCUAGCUGGUCUGAUAGGAUGACCAGCCACACGGGAACUGAGACACGGUCCAGACUCCUACGGGAGGCAGCAGUGGGGAAUAUUGCACAAUGGGCGCAAGCCUGAUGCAGCCAGGCCGCGUGUAUGAAGAAGGCCUUCGGGUUGUAAAGUACUUUCAGCGAGGAGGCGUUACUCGCAGAAGAAGCACCGGCUAACUCCGUGCCAGCAGCCGCGGUAAUUC
rnacentral:rRNA from 1 species